GCCUACACAUGCAAGUCGAGCGGUAACAGGUCCAGCUUGCUGGAUGCUGACGAGCGGCGGACGGGUGAGUAAUGCAUAGGAAUCUACCCGGUAGUGGGGGAUAACCUGGGGAAACCCAGGCUAAUACCGCAUACGUCCUACGGGAGAAAGGGGGCUUUGGCUCCCGCUAUCGGAUGAGCCUAUGCCGGAUUAGCUGGUUGGUGAGGUAACGGCUCACCAAGGCGACGAUCCGUAGCUGGUCUGAGAGGAUGAUCAGCCACAUCGGGACUGAGACACGGCCCGAACUCCUACGGGAGGCAGCAGUGGGGAAUAUUGGACAAUGGGGGCAACCCUGAUCCAGCCAUGCCGCGUGUGUGAAGAAGGCCCUCGGGUUGUAAAGCACUUUCAGCGAGGAAGAACGCCUGGUGGUUAAUACCCGCCAGGAAAGACAUCACUCGCAAAAGAAGCACCGGCUAACUCCGUGCCAGCAGCCGCGGUAAUACGGAGGGUGCAAGCGUUAAUCGGAAUUACUGGGCGUAAAGCGCGCGUAGGUGGCUUGAUAAGCCGGUUGUGAAAGCCCCGGGCUCAACCUGGGAACGGCAUCCGGAACUAUCAGGCUAGAGUGCAGGAGAGGAAGGUAGAAUUCCCGGUGUAGCGGUGAAAUGCGUAGAGAUCGGGAGGAAUACCAGUGGCGAAGGCGGCCUUCUGGACUGACACUGACACUGAGGUGCGAAAGCGUGGGUAGCACACAGGAUUAGAUACCCUGGUAGUCCACGCCGUAAACGAUGUCGACCAGCCGUUGGGUGCCUAGCGCACUUUGUGGCGAAGUUAACGCGAUAAGUCGACCGCCUGGGGAGUACGGCCGCACGUUAAAACUCAAAUGAAUUGACGGGGGCCGCACAAGCGGUGGAGCAUGUGGUUUAAUUCGAUGCACGCGAAGAACCUUACCUACCCUUGACAUCCUGCGAACUUGGUAGAGAUACCUUGUGCCUUCGGGAGCGCAAAGACUGUGCUGCAUGUCUGUCGUCAGCUCAUGUUUGUGAAUGGUGGAUAAGUCCCGUGACGAGCGUCACCCUGACUUAUUUGCAGCGGAGUGUGCUCGGUACUCUUACGAACUGG
rnacentral:rRNA from 1 species